rnacentral:rRNA from 1 species
GACGUAGGAUGCGAACGUUAUCCGGAAUGAUUGGGCGUAAAGGGUGCGUAGGUGGCCUGACAAGUUAACAGUGAAAAAUCGAGGCUCAACCUCGUGGAAACUGAUAAUACUGUCUGGCUUGAGUACAGAAGAGGUUAAAGGAAUUCCAUGUGGAGCGGUAAAAUGCAUAGAUAUAUGGAAGAACACCAACAACGGCGAAGGCAGUUAACUAUUCUGUUACUGACAUUGAGGCACGAAAGCGUGGGGAGCAAAACGG